rnacentral:lncRNA from 1 species
CCCUCCUCCUCUUUUCCUCUGACGCACUCCCUGUUUCCAUUGGAAGGAAACACAUCCAUGUAAUUCAAAGGGAAAUCUAGUUGUAUUCCUCCAGACUGGCCAUCAGCCUACAGCUGACAUCUACCUUUCAUGAUGGGUGUUCAAUUAGCUGGGCGAUCUGAACAGCCGUCAUUGGGAGUGAAUAGGACGGUAGCAGGAUUUAGAUCAAGCAGCAGGACUUUAUUGAAGGAUGUAUGCAAAAUGUCCUGCACAAUGAAAUGUGAAAGAAGAAGGGAGAAGCAGGGAAGCCAGAUGAGAACAUAGUGCCACAGCAGCUGUGUCUGACUAUUCACAAUCACUUAUAGAUCGCUAUGGCAGAUUGGCAGUACUCCGUGACUUCAAGAGGUUAGAACCAGCAC